GAGUUUGAUCCUGGCUCAGAACGAACGCUGGCGGCGCGCCUAACACAUGCAAGUCGAACGAGCGAGAGAGAGCUUGCUUUCUCGAGCGAGUGGCGAACGGGUGAGUAACGCGUGAGGAACCUGCCUCAAAGAGGGGGACAACAGUUGGAAACGACUGCUAAUACCGCAUAAGCCCACAGCUCGGCAUCGAGCAGAGGGAAAAGGAGCAAUCCGCUUUGAGAUGGCCUCGCGUCCGAUUAGCUAGUUGGUGAGGUAAUGGCCCACCAAGGCGACGAUCGGUAGCCGGACUGAGAGGUUGAACGGCCACAUUGGGACUGAGACACGGCCCAGACUCCUACGGGAGGCAGCAGUGGGGAAUAUUGCACAAUGGGGGAAACCCUGAUGCAGCGACGCCGCGUGGAGGAAGAAGGUCUUCGGAUUGUAAACUCCUGUUGUUGAGGAAGAUAAUGACGGUACUCAACAAGGAAGUGACGGCUAACUACGUGCCAGCAGCCGCGGUAAAACGUAGGUCACAAGCGUUGUCCGGAAUUACUGGGUGUAAAGGGAGCGCAGGCGGGAAGACAAGUUGGAAGUGAAAUCUAUGGGCUCAACCCAUAAACUGCUUUCAAAACUGUUUUUCUUGAGUAGUGCAGAGGUAGGCGGAAUUCCCGGUGUAGCGGUGGAAUGCGUAGAUAUCGGGAGGAACACCAGUGGCGAAGGCGGCCUACUGGGCACCAACUGACGCUGAGGCUCGAAAGUGUGGGUAGCAAACAGGAUUAGAUACCCUGGUAGUCCACACCGUAGACGAUGAUUACUAGGUGUUGGAGGAUGGACCCCUUCAGUGCCGCAGUUAACACAAUAAGUAAUCCACCUGGGGAGUACGACCGCAAGGUUGAAACUUAAAGGAACUGACGGGGGCCCGCACAAGCAGUGGAGUAUGUGGUUUAAUUCGACGCAACGCGAAGAACCUUACCAAGUCUUGACAUCCCUUGACGAACAUAGAAAUAUGUUUUCUCUUCGGAGCAAGGAGACAGGUGGUGCAUGGUUGUCGUCAGCUCGUGUCGUGAGAUGUUGGGUUAAGUCCCGCAACGAGCGCAACCCUUACUGUCAGUUACUACGCAAGAGGACUCUGGCAGGACUGCCGUUGACAAAACGGAGGAAGGUGGGGAUGACGUCAAAUCAUCAUGCCCUUUAUGACUUGGGCUACACACGUACUACAAUGGCGUUAAACAAAGAGAAGCAAGACCGCGAGGUGGAGCAAAACUCAGAAACAACGUCCCAGUUCGGACUGCAGGCUGCAACUCGCCUGCACGAAGUCGGAAUUGCUAGUAAUCGUGGAUCAGCAUGCCACGGUGAAUACGUUCCCGGGCCUUGUACACACCGCCCGUC
rnacentral:rRNA from 1 species